rnacentral:misc_RNA from 1 species
ACGAGUUAGGGUCUUUUCGGCCCAACCUCCGCACCCUCUGUUUACUCAACCACACGUUGCUUCGGCGGACCCGUCUUCUCAAGACCGCCGGAGGACUGUCGAGAGACGUCCUCUGGCCCGCGCCCGCCGGCGGCCCACCUUCCAAAAACUCCGACUGAAUCUUACUUCUCUGAGUCUCAAUAUUAAAUAAAGCA